GGUGCACGCUCUGUUUACACAUCCACUCACACCUGAUGCACCCUCUGUAGUUCCUGUGGUUUGGGAGACCCCGUCUUCCUUCCAUGGCUCUACGUCUUUACACACACACCGUAGUGAAGUUUUAUGGAAUGUUUUUCUGCGUUUAACGCAAUACAAUACAACUUUCAGCAACGGAUCUCUUGGCUCUCGCAUCGAUGAAGAACGCAGCGAAAUGCGAUAAGUAAUGUGAAUUGCAGAAUUCAGUGAAUCAUCGAAUCUUUGAACGCNCCUUGCGCCCCUUGGUUAUUCCUCGGGGCAUGCCUGUUUGAGUAUCAUGAACACCUCAACUCUCAUGGUCUUCCAUGACGAGCUUGGAUUUUGGAGGUUUGCUGGCCCUGCCNCCGGCUCCUCUCAAAUGAAUCAGCAUGCCAGUGUUUGGUGGCGUCAUGGGUGUGAUAACUAUCUACAUUCGUGGCCGUCUGCCAGGUAACCCUCANCGAUGAAGGUUCAUUGGGGCUCNCAAANGUCUCUCCAUUGUGGGGACAACUUUUGAACGUUCGAUCUCAAAAUCAGGUAGGGCUACCCCGCUGAACUUAAGCAAAAUCAAUAAGCGGGAGGAAAGAAAACUAAACNANGGAUUC
rnacentral:rRNA from 1 species